rnacentral:tRNA from 1 species
UCUCCAAAAGCUCAGUUGGUUAGAGCAUCUGACUGUUAAUCAGAGGGUCCCUGGUUCAAGUCCAGGUUGGAGAGCCA